AAGCAGGCCUGUCUGAAUUCUUAGCAGUGAUCUCCAAGGGCACCAUAACCUUGCAAGAAAGAGACUGCCAGGCCUGCAUCUCUUUCUGAUGCAGAAACCAGGGCCCAGAGAAGGGGCUAGAGCAUCUUGGACGGAGAAACCUCGGCAAAGACAAAGGCCCAUUGUCCCCCUUCCCCGGCCUUCUGCCAGCUCCCUCCCCAGUCACCAGACAAGGCCAGCCCUGCCCACAGCCCCCAGAGGCUGCCACGCGCCAAUAUGGGGUGACUCAGUGCCCCCUCCCUUCCCAUUGGUUGAUGAUGCCUGGAAUCCCACCAUCAGAGCCUUGUAAGGUUGCUGUGGGAUGGGUGGGGGUGAGGCAGAAAAAGACAAGAAGGUGGUGGGGGCCUCUGGCUUGUGGAUUUCGUAAUCACACCUUUACGGUGGGCUUGGGUGGGAGAUCAGGCAAUACUAAAUAAUAAAAACAACACAUUUCACACUUGC